rnacentral:rRNA from 1 species
UGGGGAAUUUUGGACAAUGGGCGAAAGCCUGAUCCAGCCAUGCCGCGUGCAGGAUGAAGGCCUUCGGGUUGUAAACUGCUUUUUGUACGGAACGAAAAGACUCUGGUUAAUACCUGGGGUCCAUGACGGUACCGUAAGAAUAAGCACCGGCUAACUACGUGCCAGCAGCCGCGGUAAUACGUAGGGUGCAAGCGUUAAUCGGAAUUACUGGGCGUAAAGCGUGCGCAGGCGGUUAUAUAAGACAGAUGUGAAAUCCCCGGGCUCAACCUGGGAACUGCAUUUGUGACUGUAUAGCUAGAGUACGGCAGAGGGGGAUGGAAUUCCGCGUGUAGCAGUGAAAUGCGUAGAUAUGCGGAGGAACACCGAUGGCGAAGGCAAUCCCCUGGGCCUGUACUGACGCUCAUGCACGAAAGCGUGGGGAGCAAACAGGAUUAGAUACCCUGGUAGUCCACGCCCUAAACGAUGUCAACUGGUUGUUGGGUCUUCACUGACUCAGUAACGAAGCUAACGCGUGAAGUUGACCGCCUGGGGAGUACGCCGCAAGGUUGAAACUUAAAGGAAUUGACGGGGUCAUAGCUGUUUCCU